AGCAGCCGCGGUAAUUCCAGCUCCAAUAGCGUAUAUUAAAGUUGUUGCAGUUAAAAAGCUCGUAGUUGAAUUUCGGGGUUAGUAGGUUGGUCAUGCCUCCGGUAUGUACUGAUCUCACUGAUUCCUCCUUCCUUAUGAACCGUAAUGCCAUUAAUUUGGUGUUGCGGGGAAUUUGGACUGUUACUUUGAAAAAAUUAGAGUGUUUAAAGCAGGCUAACGCUUGAAUACAUUAGCAUGGAAUAAUGAAAUAGGACGUUCGAUCUUAUUUUGUUGGUUUCUAGGAUUGACGUAAUGAUUAAUAGGGAUAGUUGGGGGCAUUAGUAUUCAAUUGUCAGAGGUGAAAUUCUUGGAUUUAUUGAAGACUAACUACUGCGAAAGCAUUUGCCAAGGAUGUUUUCAUUAAUCAAGAACGAAAGUUAGGGGAGUCGAAGACGAUCAGAUACCGUCGUAGU
rnacentral:rRNA from 1 species